rnacentral:rRNA from 1 species
UACGGGGGGGGCAAGCGUUGUUCGGAAUUACUGGGCGUAAAGGGCUCGUAGGUGGCCAACUAAGUCAGACGUGAAAUCCCUCAGCUUAACUGGGGAACUGCGUCUGAUACUGGAUGGCUUGAGUUUGGGAGAGGGAUGCGGAAUUCCAGGUGUAGCGGUGAAAUGCGUAGAGAUCGUAAGGAAGACCAGUGGCGAAGGCGGGUCUCUGGACAGUUCCUGACACUGAUGCACGAAGGCCAGGGGAGCAAACGGG